rnacentral:rRNA from 1 species
GUGCUUGCACCGAGAUUCAACAUGGAACGAGUGGCGGACGGGUGAGUAACACGUGGGUAACCUGCCCUUAAGUGGGGGAUAACAUUUGGAAACAGAUGCUAAUACCGCAUAGAUCCAAGAACCGCAUGGUUCUUGGCUGAAAGAUGGCGUAAGCUAUCGCUUUUGGAUGGACCCGCGGCGUAUUAGCUAGUUGGUGAGGUAAUGGCUCACCAAGGCGAUGAUACGUAGCCGAACUGAGAGGUUGAUCGGCCACAUUGGGACUGAGACACGGCCCAAACUCCUACGGGAGGCAGCAGUAGGGAAUCUUCCACAAUGGACGCAAGUCUGAUGGAGCAACGCCGCGUGAGUGAAGAAGGCUUUCGGGUCGUAAAACUCUGUUGUUGGAGAAGAAUGGUCGGCAGAGUAACUGUUGCCGGCGUGACGGUAUCCAACCAGAAAGCCACGGCUAACUACGUGCCAGCAGCCGCGGUAAUACGUAGGUGGCAAGCGUUAUCCGGAUUUAUUGGGCGUAAAGCGAGCGCAGGCG